rnacentral:rRNA from 1 species
UACGUAAGUGGCGAGCGUUGUCCGGAUUUAUUGGGCGUAAAGCGCGCGCAGGUGGUGCGGUAAGUCUGUCGUGAAAUCUCCCGGCUCAACUGGGAGGGUGCGGUGGAGACUGCCGGACUGGAGGCACUCAGAGGCCGGUGGAAUUCCCGGUGUAGUGGUGAAAUGCGUAGAGAUCGGGAGGAACACCAGUGGCGAAGGCGGCCGGCUGGGGGUGACCUGACGCUGAGGCGCGAAAGCGUGGGGAGCGAACCGG